UUCCAAAAUAAUAAAAAAGCAUUUGCUUUGCAGUCAUCUCAUUACACUCUCACGCUGAACCAAAUAAGGCCACACAUCAACA